rnacentral:lncRNA from 1 species
UUGACAGUUUACAAUGCUAAAAAACAUCGAUAAAUUACGAUGCAGAAAAGCAUCAAUGGAGACCAUUAGUCAUCGUUGAAAUUCAACUCCUCCGAUUUAUCCAUCCCUCUGUCCUCAAUUAGAAACCUAGACCCCUUCUCUCCCAAUAGCUAACUCUCCGCCUCGUUACUGUCGAUCCCGCGGACUCCUCAGCCUCUCAUCUCUUACCGAUAUCAAUCCACCACCCCUUCCUCUCUCUUGCCUUCAGCCCAAGCCCCGAUCGUCGUAUCGUUGUCUGUGCCUCCUCCUCCAUCUCCGACCCCAUCACCGUUGACCUCAUCGAUCGGUCAGCCUUAGGUAUGUCUCCUCCUUCUUCUCCUCUAUCUGUGCACCACACGUCACUGCCUCUCA